UACAGAGGUCUCAAGCGUUGUUCGGAUUCAUUGGGCGUAAAGGGUGCGUAGGUGGCGCCGUAAGUCGGGUGUGAAAUUUCGGAGCUUAACUCCGAAACUGCAUUCGAUACUGCGGUGCUUGAGGACUGGAGAGGAGACUGGAAUUCAUGGUGUAGCAGUGAAAUGCGUAGAGAUCAUGAGGAAGACCAGUGGCGAAGGCGGGUCGCUGGGCAUCUCCUGACGCUGAGGCGCGAAAGCGUGGGGAGCAAACGGG
rnacentral:rRNA from 1 species